GGAGACUGAUGGCAUUAUCCCUUAAAUGCCUUUCACUGAAAUAGGAUGGCCAGGCUGAUUGGAUUGCGCUCUGUAAUUAAUUAGCUGGGUGCAGUGGGCGGGAGGCAGCUCCGGUGGGAAGAGAGGGGGAAGGUGUCAGGAGAGGGGUCCAGCUCCACGCCACCCCUUCUCACUAACACGGUGCUGUACAAUGUGAGCCACCAGGAGCCGGGUGCCUCUUGUAGCAGCCUGGCCCUUUUCCAGCCCCCUGCACCCAGGAGCCAUGAGCUGCCCCCAGCACCUGCAGAGCCCCUGGAGCAACGCCCUGUGUGCAGCCUCUCGGUGCUGUUAGGCUCCCUGCUGCAGCCUCCUGCAUCCCUUCUGAGUACUGCAGCAUCUCCCUUUUGGACCAUCCUUCUUGUCCCACCUCGGUUCUGGGCAGGCUCCAGCAGCGCAGCACCGUCCUCUCCCUUGAGGCUGAGCCGAAUCCCGUACGAACGUUGAUGUGCGUCAAGGAGGCCACAAGGACGUCUUUUCUGCCCAGACAGCUGGCUUUGUCCCCAGAGGCAGUGUGCGGCGGGUGGUUUCACACCGGGCAAGACCCCACCGUGACCACAGGGCUCUUGCUGGGCCGGGGCAAUACAGAUGCUGCCGGGGCCCCGGGAGCGUAACUCAAAUCGAUAAGAAGCUGUUAAAUUGCACCUGCACCUCGCAAGGAGCAGCGCAGGGAGCGCUGGCUGCGGAGAUGUAUCUGCUGCCACUCGGCGUGCUGAGGCACAUUCAUUAAGUAUCUUUAAGAUGGAUACACCCCCCAGUUCACCUCCUGCGAAAGCCUGCGAAUUUAUUUCCUCCUGAACCGCGCCAUCAAUCACUGCUGACAGCCCCGCCGCGGCGCGGC
rnacentral:lncRNA from 1 species